GGCACAGUGGCACAGUGGUUAGCGCCGUUACCUCGCAAUGUGGAGGGUUUGGGUUUGAGUCCCAGCUGGCCA